CAGCCACUGUCCCACCAGCCUCCUAGCAGCUCCCUAACAACCCAGGCCUGCAGGACCUCCAGGACAGAGGUGCUCCAGAGGCAAAUUCAGGCCUUUGCUUGUCCUCAUGUCAGUCAAACCGAGCUUGGGACCCAGCCCUUCAAAGGAGCCCACUAUGCUGCCUGACAAUUACUUUAGAGAGAUCCACAACUGGACAGAACUGCUCUACUUCUUCAACCACACCAUACCUGAGUGCCACAUAGAGCUCAGUGAGAACACCAAGCGUGUGGUCCUCUUUGUCCUCUACCUGGCCAUCUUUGUGGUUGGCCUGGUGGAGAACCUCCUGGUGAUCUGUGUGAACUGGCACAGCUCAGGCCGUGUGGGGCUGCUGAACCUGUAUAUCCUCAAUAUGGCCAUAGCGGACCUAGGCAUCAUCCUGUCCCUGCCCGUGUGGAUGCUGGAAGCCACACUAGACUACACCUGGCUCUGGGGUAGCUUCUCCUGCCGUUUCAUCCAUUACUUCUACUAUGCCAACAUGUACAGCAGCAUUUUCUUCCUGGUGUGCCUCAGUAUUGACCGCUACGUCACACUCACCAGCACUUCUCCUUACUGGCAGCGCAACCAGCAGCGAGUGCGGCGGGCAGUGUGUGCAGGUGUCUGGGUCCUCUCAGCCAUCCUCCCACUGCCUGAAGUGGUCCACGUCCAGUUGGUGGAUGACAUCGAGCCCAUGUGCCUUUUCAUGGCACCUUUAGAAACAUACAGCACAUGGGCACUGGUGGUAUCCCUAUUCACUACUGUACUGGGCUUUCUGCUGCCCUUCCCUCUCAUUGUUGUCUUCAAUGUGCUGACAGUCCGCCAGCUGCAGAAGCAAGGACUGCCUGAGGGCUGGCGCCACUGCCGACUGGUGUGUGCCUACAUAGUUGUCUUUGUCAUCUGCUGGGUGCCCUACCACAUGACUAUGCUGCUCAUCAGCCUGCUGGGAACCCAUAUCUCCCUCCACUGCUACCUGACCCACCUGCUGUACUUCUUCUAUGACAUCAUUGACUGCUUCGCCCUGCUGCAUUGUGUUGCCAACCCCAUUCUUUACAACUUUCUCAGUCCAAGCUUCCGUGGUCGGCUGCGAAAUGCUGUGGUCCAUUACCUUCCAAAGGAUCAGGCCAGGGCAGGGGCCCGGGCUUCCUCUUCCACCUCUUCCACACAGCACUCCAUCAUCAUCACCAAGGAGGGCAGCCUGCCCAUUGCAGUGGGCCCCAACUCCACCCAAGCCUGAACUUCCAGCACCCUCUUUGCCUCAAAAUGCUUCAUCUUCACUCUGCAAUGUCAUAGCCAGCUCACUGCGCAGGUUGUGAGGACAAGAGGCCAGAGGCCAAGGAACCAGGAGGCCUCAGCAGGACGUUCCCUAGUGGUGCAUCCUCAGUGCCAUGAUAAGCAGAGGCGGGUGGGAAAGCAAGGGUGGGGCGAAGCCCGUCAGAGACAGGCACCCUGCAGCUGGGUCAGCAGGAUGGUCUCUCCACCCUUGACCCCUCAGGAAACACAGCUCCAUUUCCUUGCUGAUAUCCUCCCGUCCCCUGUGUCCAUCCUGGCUUUCCUCCCCCACAGCACAUGCACUCAGAGCCCACGCUCCUCACAGCAAACCUCCCAGCUUUGGGUCUAGGACACAGUCUUCUAGGGCAGUGAUGGGAAACCUUUCAGAGCUUUCAGUGAUAACAAGCAGCUGGCUGCAGCACAGUGCGCCGCAGGUUUGCCACCACUGCUCCAAGGGAGACACAGAGCUCCCCACCUCUUCCUUGCCCUCCAGAUCACAGGAAAAUAAGAGGACAUCUGUUUCAGGAAGGGGCCUUGAGAAUGCCAGCUGCAGGUGCUGGCAGUUGUUGCAUCCCUUGGCCCUUGCAUAGGUUGGGGAAGGCCCAAGUGGAAAUUUCCCUGCUUUGUCACAGGGCAGAACUCUGGCCCCAGGCACUUCUUCCUCGUCCACUUCUUGAUUAUUUUCUUAUCCAGCGACUUACAUUAACUACCACUUGUUCUAUAGAUAAAGAUGGUCCUCUAAUUAACAAGUAGGUCUUCUGGAAGACUCAUUUAUCAGCUUAGGAAAUUAAGACCAUAAACAUGAAAAACUGAUGUGACAGCCUAAGAAUAGGUCCUAAUUUCUGCCUUUCAAUUCCACAUUCUUAGCCUCCUGUUUGUGGAGUAAGAACUGGUCCUGAAGUCACUGAUCUCUUGACUGUCUCGCCAGUCCUGCUCAAGAGCACAGCAUGCCAGGAAUGUUUAACUUGGAAUAACAGCUCACUUCCCAGAGAGCAUUUCCUCUGCUCCUGUGCUCUCUGGGAACAUUUAAACACAUACCCCAAUGGUGCACACACCCAGGCCUGUCAGCAGUACAGAGGGAAACCAUAUCUGCCAUCCACUGCUCACUAGGCCCAAACCUGAAAAGGUCUUAAACUGUAACAGCUGCUCAGUGGUGCAGAGCUGAAGGUUUUCUGAAACAGGAGACUAGAUUGUGACUUGGGACGUACAAUAACAGUUUAACCUAAUAAUGCAGAAGCCACAUUAAAAUUGUUCACACUUACAAAGCAACCCAAGAUCAGAUACCCAUGUGACUGCCAGGAAGAUAACUGGUUUUGGAAAUGAGAAAUGGAGCUUAGUCAGAGGAGGUAUAGGAGGGCCCUAUACUUCCUUAGAGUUCCUCCACCCAUGGAAGGGAAGAGUGGGAAGUGGCUACACUAACUGCUGCAAAGCUGUUCUACUCUGCACUUACUGAGCACCAAUGAAAGCUGGUCCUGAGCUGGUCCCCAUGUGCCCUGGGACCAAACAAACCACAUCCCUCCACACCUGCUGGAGGCUGGCUUCCUCUGCGGAAGCAUUUUGGUACCAACCUCUUGCAAUUAGCUCAGACCUCCAUCUCUUCCUUGUUCGAGUCUUCCUUUCCCCUCCCCACUUUCUAUCUGUAUUGGAGACAUUUGAAGACACACUGCUUCACCAUGAAUUAACAGCAAUGGCAAGUCAGUGUGUCUGGCCAAGACCCUUACGUAGGUAGUAAUCUUGGUUUAAGUGGACAUCUGCAGAGGACCACAGCAGUCUCUGGGCUGAUAGCAGAUGUCCUGAGAGAUGCGCACCUGAUAAUGUUGAGUCUUUGACUUAAUUUCCCGCUAAAGCAAGUCAACAAGCUAAUCUUGGGAAAUUCCAACUAUAGGAAAAGAAAAUGGGCUACAUGAAAGAAUUCUGGCAUCUGUGGAACCAUGCCUUACUGAAAGGGUGAUGAGCUCAGAUAACUGGAACUCGAGACAGGGGCAUGUUCACAGUACACAGGAAAAGAACUCCCAUUUCAAAUUUCUUUUUUUAUUAUUCUAAAUAAAAACCACACUUUGUGCUGAACAAUGGAAUAUAAAAGAAUCAGAUGUACAACGAUUUUAGACAUCUACUAUUUGGGAAAAGUUUACAAAAUGUACAAAACUUUACAGCAAUAGAUAGUAAACACUUAAAUAUCAGGAGGUCAGUACUUAUUAAUUUAGUGGAAAGAGUUAGACAUCAACACCUCUUCUCCGUUUCAAAAGAUUUUAGCUAUUACAGGUAGGGGGGAGGAUAGGUGGAUU